rnacentral:rRNA from 1 species
AUUGAACGCUGGCGGAAUGCUUUACACAUGCAAGUCGAACGGUAGAGGGGGCAACCCCUCGAGAGUGGCGAACGGGUGAGUAAUAUAUCGGAACGUGCCCUGUCGUGGGGGAUAACGUAGCGAAAGUUACGCUAAUACCGCAUACGAUCUAAGGAUGAAAGCGGGGGAUCGCAAGACCUCGCGCGAUUGGAGCGGCCGAUAUCAGAUUAGGUAGUUGGUGGGGUAAAGGCUCACCAAGCCAACGAUCUGUAGCUGGUCUGAGAGGACGACCAGCCACACAGGAACUGAGACACGGUCCAGACUCCUACGGGAGGCAGCAGUGGGGAAUUUUGGACAAUGGACGCAAGUCUGAUCCAGCCAUUCCGCGUGCAGGAUGAAGGCCCUCGGGUUGUAAACUGCUUUUGUACGGAACGAAAAGGUCUCUCUUAAUACGGGGGACUCAUGACGGUACCGUAAGAAUAAGCACCGGCUAACUACGUGCCAGCCGCCGCGGUAA